AAUAAAGUGCCUGAUAAAAGGAUUAUUUCGAUAAAAUAAAUCAUAUGUAUUUUUUUACAUCUUUAUUA
rnacentral:tRNA from 1 species